GAGCCAAGCCUGCCCCGUGCCAGCUACCCUGGGGGAGAGCUGCCGGACCGGCCCCCAAGCCCCGCACCAGAGGAACCGAUGCUGCUGGACUGGCCCGAACCCGGCAUCGCCAAUGAGACACUGGGACGCCGCUACAGAGCUCCAUCUCAGGCCGGGGAUGGUUGAGAAGGAGAGGGGGUUGGGUUGUGCGUGUGAUAGAUGAGGCACUAACGGCGCUGGAGACAACCACUGUGCAUGCAUGACCCAGACGGACACGGCUGAUGAAAUUCUCCGAUCAAUGGCGCUAGGGCGCUCCAACACCUGAAGUGGAGCACCCACAGGGGGACACAUCUUGAAGAACCUCAAUUACUGUACAAGGCCCAGCACUCAGAAGGUGGCUUGGACCAGGCUGAUGCUGUUCUUUACUUGAGCCUCUGAAUGACCCUUGAUCAGCCAGUCAUUGAGGAGUACUGUCUCAGAGGCGGAGCCAAGAAGCAUGGCGGCUGUUGAGGCCUGACGUGCUUCCUCGAAGUGAACGGAGGAAGAGGCCCAGGGACCUGAGGGUAGCCCUUGAGUCCUUCAGGCCAUGUAGUCUCGCGUUUGUCUGCUCUGAAAAUAGUGAGGGGCCUUCGAAAGGGAGGUCCUGGAUAGACUGCUGGAUCUCCUGAUCGAGUCCCGAUGACUGCAGCCAAGAGCAUCAUCUCAUGGUGACUACAGAGGUCAUUGUCCUGGCCGCCAUGUCUGCUGCGUCCAGUGCCUCCUGGAGAGAGGCUCUGGCAACAUUCUUUCCUUGUUCUAAGAUGGCUGAAAAUUCCUGCCAUAAGUCUUGAGACAUGGAGUCCUUAAAUUUGGACAGAGUCCCACAAAUUGUAGUCGUAUCUCCACAGUAAGGCUUGCUGGUUUGAGAUACAUAGUUGUAGACUACCUGUCAAACAAACUUUCCGCCCAAACAGAUCAAGUUUCUUUGCAUCCUUCUGUUUGGGGAUAGCACUCAACUGGCUCUGGCUCUCCCAUUUAUUAGCCACCAGUAUGGAUGAGGGACCCAGGAGGGGGUGAGAGUACAGAUACUCAUACCCACUGACUGGCACAUAAUAUUUCUUCUCUGUGCUCUUUGAAGUGGGGAAUGGGGGGGGAGAAAAGAUGGGGUCUUCCACAGGACUCUGAACAGACUUAUUACCGCCUCACUAAUGGGUAAGGCUAAUUUAGAUGGAGCUGCUGCAACCAGAAUGUCAAUGAGGCUGUGAGAGGAUUCCUGAAUGCCUCAAUCUCAAGCCCCAGGUUAGCUGCUAUUCGCUUUAAAAGCUCUUGAUGAGCCCUAAAGUCAUCUUCGGGAAGCGAGCUGCUCGGCCCCAAGUCGGCCUCAUCCGGGGAAGAGGAGGAAGAGGCCUGUACUGGAGGAGGGGCCACCAUCUUCAGCUUCUUCUUCAGCUUCAAUAACCUCCAAAGGGGCCACAUUUUGUAAAUCAGUACUGGAUUGGUACUGGAGUCAGGGUCUGGUGCCAAUCAUGGAGGAACAGGAGCCUGCCUCUCAGAAGCAACCAAGUAUGAAUGGUGGGAGGGUAGACCUAGUACCGGGGGAAUUUCCCAAGGGUUUCAGUAUGGCCACUUCAUAGACCACUAUCCUCCUGCCACGUACCAGUGGGGGAACCUGCACCAAGGUCCUUCGGCAUGUAGGACGGGUACUGGCGGCCCUAAAGUUUAACUUGUAGGGUUCUGCAUCAGACUCAGAUGAAGAAUCCUCCCUAGGCAACCACAGGGGAGCGGUACCUCUCACUGCCUCCAAUCAGUGCCAAGGGUCCAGUGACCAGUGGCAGGCUGGGGACAACCUCGCAGAGGACAGAAAAGUUGGCUUGCCUCUAAAAAGCAGUCAGUGGCCCAGUGCCAGGAAGGAGCUCAGAGCACCGUGCUCUCUCCUGCUCAAGGACGACAAAGCCAGCAGCUGACCUAAUGGGGUCGGCAGGACCGGGAGUGACAACAAGUCUCUGGCUGCUGUUUGCAGGGUUGAAGGCACUGCAAUUCCGCUGGUGCCGCGAUGACUUCCUGCUGUCGGCGGAAGGUCCCGCAUUAGACUCUAUGGAGUAUAUGGUGCUGCCAUGGGACCAGGGGUGGAAGAGUGCCCAAUGCGGUCACACUCCACUGCCUUCCCCUUGCUUGCCUUUCUUUGGCACUGGCGAGCGCCCUCUAUUGGAAUGCUACUUUUUGUGCUUCUUCCUCAGCCUGCCUGGUGGAGACCAGUGCCGGAGGAGCACUUUGCACCAAGUUCCGAGGCUGGUCUAAGAGCAGCUUCCUUUAGGAUAGCCUUAAGUCUGAUUGCGCUGUCCUUCUUUGUGCAAAGUCCCGACAAAUUUGGCAGAGGUCUUUCAUGUGAGAUUCUCCCAGACAACUGGAGUGUGGGUCAUUUACAGGCAUAGACUUGCCACAGGAGGCACAAGGUUUGAGGGGAGGGUGCUAACUAUCUACAUUAAAAGUGCAGCCUGCCAUGUUUUAAGGUCAUGCCAGGAAUACCAACAGGGAUGCACUGAAACAAAAAUAACUCUGGGAGGACAUUCAUCUUCAGCGAGGCUACCCUACCUAGCCGAGAAAUUUCAUAUUUGUUCCAUUCCCUCAGGUAUUUUAUUAUUUUAUUUUAAAGAUUGCUUUACCCAUUUAAAUGUAUAUAGCUGACAACAGUUUAUUUUGGCCCUUUUGGGAAUAUUAAUUCCUAAAAUUUCACGUUUAUUUUGAAGCCUGAUACUUGCCCAAAUUCCAAAUCAACUGUUCCAUAAUUUUUAGCAUGUUUUGCUGCCCUUUAACAAGGGUUGGUUUCUCAUAUUUAUUUGA